AUAAAUUAAUAUGUAAUAUAUCGAUAUAUUGAUGGAUAAAACUUUCGUCGCAAUUUCUUUUACUUCAUCAUUUUAGAACAAUUCCUAUAGAGGACAGGCUCGAUGUAACGAAUAAUGAAAGAUCAUUCUUGAAUAUAAGUAAACCAAGAUCUUCUUCUAUAUAAGGUACAUCAAACCAGAAUUGAAUUUUCAUUCUGGGUUUCUACAAAGAUAGUGGUAAGAGUUAGCUUAAAUCGUUAAAGUUAAAAACGUGCUUUGGGUGGCCUCUUGCAGAUCAACAUUUUAUUUCAAUUUUUAUGGAAAGAAUGGAAAUCAUAAGGUUUAUUGCAGUAAAAUCAUUUAAUAAAUCUGAAACAAAAAAAGAAAAUGGUUAAAUAAUUUAAUUUUGAUAUAAAAAAAAUGUAAAA